rnacentral:pre_miRNA from 1 species
UUGAAGAAUUUGAAGACUUCAACUUGCAAACAUGGAGUAUUUGAAGACGUUAACUUGCAGGCUUGAAGAAUUUGAAAACUUCAACU